UACUGUUUCAGUAUUGACGCUUCUCAACUAAAACGACACCGUGUCUUCCUUCGCUCUCACUCCACAACCGACAAAUACCAAGCAUCCGAAAAUAAAAAAGAAAGCGACACAGGUUUGGUCCCUCUACAGCUUUGUUCAAGCAAUAUAUAAUGUAAUCAACUUUGUUCGAGUAUAUAGCUACCAGGUGUUUGUUGUGUGUGAGAAAGAAAGAGCGCCAUCGAGGACAUAACAAAACGACAGCGUUUAGAGAGGGCGUAUUUGCGUACCUGCAGCUGGAGACCAUGGUUUCUUGCAGCAACAAACUGAUAGCCAUCAACACACCGUUGAUUCCGAUCAUGAUAACCGUAAUGAUGACGACGAUGAUGAUCGCAGUAUCAGCAGCG
rnacentral:lncRNA from 1 species